AGAAUUAAAAAAUUAUUACUUCACCUUCUCUUCACUUCACGGGGAGCGAGAGAGAGAGGAGCGAUUCGAUUCGAGUGGCGACGACGAGGGAGUGGGAGAGCAAACGGACGUGAAGAACAAGUCGGAGGAGGUGUCUGUGUUCGACUGUUCGUGUUCCAACCAGGAAUGAUGGAUGAUUUUAUCUGACUCAGCACAAACACAAAACACACGGUCGCCGGCGUAUUCUUACAUCAGGGCGACGAGAGAGAGAGAGAGAGAGAACCAAAACAAAGUUAAGACUUAAGAGGUUAUAAUAAUUGUCUCUUUCUUUCGCUUUGGUCUGAAGAGUGAAGACUGAAGAGUGAUUCAGAACCAAGAAUUAAUAGUCUUCGCCUUACGGGAUGACUGGCCAAACAACAAGUCAAGAUUAUAAUCUCUCUCUCUCUCUUUUAAUUUGUUGCAUCUUAUCACUAGGGUGAAUUUACCCAAGUUGAAGUUAGUACGAAAAAGACAUGCUUUAUGAGUCAACAUUUUCUCAAAGAAUUGAAGGGAUGAUUGUCGGCUUAAUAUAACCGGCAGGUUGACAAGAAACUGCAACUGCCCUAUGGUUCUAACUCAGUGAAGUGAUCAGCUUCCUGUUAGCACCAAAAUUUGACAUGAACAGUGAUCUUGCCUGGUGUUGUGAGGGUUUAUUGGAAUCUUUUGGUAGAAAUGACAAGAGGCUGCAUCUGCCCUUUGGUUCCAUCUCAGGGAAGUGAUUUGUUUCCUGAUAGCAUUAAAUUUGAUAUGGGAAGUGAUCAUGGUGUUGUGAGGAAUUACGUAAAGCUUUUGGUUUGGAGAUGAUGAUGAUGCAUGCUUUAUGACCCAACCAACAUGCAACAGUUAUGUAGAAUCCUGUAUCAGACCGUUUGAAGAAUCUGAAAUCAGAACAUGGAAAGGUUCAAGUGUAGAACACCACUGUUGAUAUGGUACUUGGUGGACUGAGAGGGAUGACUGGAUUUACUCUGGGAAUCCUCAUUGCUUGACGCAGAUGAGGGAGUAUCCUUUAGGGGCAUGUCGGUUCAUGAACGCCAGAAAGUGUUACCUUCAGCUCCAUCUGGAGAAGAGCCCUUGCCUGACAGUCUUCUGUUAACUGGAAAGGUGCCAAGCAAAAAGCAUGUUGUGGCGGUGUCGAAAGAGUUGGCUCAUCGUGCGGCUGUGCCAGAUGGAGAUGAUGCUGAAUUAUGACCCAAACGAUGGAACAUCCCUCUCCUUGCUCUAGCCAAGGGGCAUAAAGACCAAUGAAAACGGCGAAGAAGUUGUGUUUAACAGUGAGGUUUAUGCUACCCUCGAGGCCACUAUUUAAUGGAUGAAACGAGUAACAACACUAGCCUCCGAAUAUGUUGAUGUUGAGCUGUCACAUAUGUAUGUUGACAAUGCUGCGAUGCAGCUAGUUCGUGACCCCAAACAGUUUACACCAUUGCUACAAACAACAAAUUAGGUGAUAUAUUAUUAUCCGGUGAAGCUUCAAUGAAUCACAUGAAACAUUGGAAUGCUGCCAUCUUCUAGUGUCAGUUAUUCGCGACCUGGACUCUUUGAACCUUUACAUGGUUCUGCACCUGAUAUUGCUUG